GUGUCAGCAGCCGCGGUAAUACGUAGGGCGCAAGCGUUGUCCGGAUUUAUUGGGCGUAAAGAGCUCGUAGGCGGCUUGUCGCGUCUGCCGUGCAAUUCCCCGGCUUAACCGGGGGCUUGCGGUGGAUACGGGUUGGCUGGAGGCAGGUAGGGGAGAAUGGAAUUCCCGGUGUAGCGGUGAAAUGCGCAGAUAUCGGGAGGAACACCGGUGGCGAAGGCGGUUCUCUGGGCCUUGCCUGACGCUGAGGAGCGAAAGCGUGGGGAGCGAACAGGAUUAGAUACCCGCGUAGUCC
rnacentral:rRNA from 1 species